CGCGUAGGUGGUUUGUUAAGUUGGAUGUGAAAGCCCCGGGCUCAACCUGGGAACUGCAUCCAAAACUGGCAAGCUAGAGUACGGUAGAGGGUGGUGGAAUUUCCUGUGUAGCGGUGAAAUGCGUAGAUAUAGGAAGGAACACCAGUGGCGAAGGCGACCACCUGGACUGAUACUGACACUGAGGUGCGAAAGCGUGGGGAGGCAAAACA
rnacentral:rRNA from 1 species